rnacentral:lncRNA from 1 species
AUACUAUAACGUGCAGAUUUUAUCAAGGGAAUUUACCUUAUCUAUUUACCAGCAUUAUGUGAAGAUGUUUAUCGGGAUUUAUAUAUGACAGCAAGUACCAAGGCUUUAGAUGGACGACACCCACUUCCAAAAAAUUCACAAAAUAGAAAUUGUCAACAACAAAAAAUGCUACUCACACCCAUGAUAUAGCGUUGUUGUGUUUUUUAAAUGUAAAACCAAGUGGGAUGAAAACAAUCAACAACGAAUGAAGAAAAUAAUGAUAAUGUUAAAAAAAGGGAGAUUUACAAAUUGUAAACAGGUUUCCAGUUGUAGGUCAUAAAAUAAUUUAUAUCAAAGAUAACUUUGUAAUACAAUCACCAACACUUCAAAGGUCCUCGGUCCAUCUUCAAGAUGCUAAACUGGUCAAUGUAUUAGUUAUAUAGUGUAUCAUUUCAGUAUUGGUUUCUUGUAAGCUUAAAAUUGAGAAGUAAAAUGGGGAAUAUGUCAUAGAGACAACAACCCGACCAAAGAGCAGAUAACAGCCCAAGGCCACCAAUGGAUAUUCAACGCGGAGAGAAGAUCGCGCACCCGGAGAUGGACCUCAGCUGGCCCCAAAAGAAAAAUGUGCACUAGUUCAGAGAAAAUGAACGUCAUACUAAACUUCAAGCAUAAAUGAACUUUAAUUUAAAAAUAACACAC